rnacentral:rRNA from 1 species
UCCUCAUGGCCCUUAUGGGUAGGGCUACACACGUCAUACAAUGGCCGGUGCAGAGGGCUGCCAACCCGCGAGGGGGGAGCCAAUCCCAGAAAACCGGUCGUAGUCCGGAUCGUAGUCUGCAACUCGACUGCGUGAAGUCGGAAUCGCUAGUAAUCGCGGAUCAGCUUGCCGCGGUGAAUACGUUCCCGGGUCUU